UACGUAGGUGGCAAGCGUUGUCCGGAAUUAUUGGGCGUAAAGCGCGCGCAGGCGGUCCUUUAAGUCUGAUGUGAAAGCCCACGGCUCAACCGUGGAGGGUCAUUGGAAACUGGGGGACUUGAGUACAGAAGAGGAAAGCGGAAUUCCACGUGUAGCGGUGAAAUGCGUAGAGAUGUGGAGGAACACCAGUGGCGAAGGCGGCUUUCUGGUCUGUAACUGACGCUGAGGCGCGAAAGCGUGGGGAGCAAACGGG
rnacentral:rRNA from 1 species